AAAAAAAAACAUGUGGAAGUAACCGGAAUACCUCAAUAUGGCCGAGCGCAUCUUGCGGUCGACCGUAGCAUGGGCUAUGAGAGGUCUCCUGUGCGCCUGUAGGUUCUUAUGGGUACCGUUCUGCUCGUUUGAACAGAAAGAGAAUUCUGAUUUGAUGUUCGUGUAUCUGUUCAUGUAGGUGAGUCCGUACAAUGUUGCAGAUCGUCCCCGAAAAACUGGACCCAUUUGUGACUCCCACUUUGAAAACAUCACAGGUCCAGAGUCUGAGAGCAGGGCGAAACGCACUCAUCAGGAAGGUAGAGAUGUCCUCCACAAUCAGCUGGUGAAAGCAGCUGGAGAAAUCCAGCAGCUGAAGUCUCAGCUGGCCAGUCAGAGGGCCUCCUGGGAGAAGAGGUUUGUGGAGCUGCAGAGGAGGCAGCAGGUGCUGAGAGAGCAGCUGGCUUCCAAGACCUUCGUCAGGACUGGAGUCUUCCUAAAGGAUGGGCCAAUAAUGGAAGGCAACUUUGGCGAGAACCAGACAGAGGUGGAAGCAGAGAGUGGCGGGUAUUUUGAGGGGUGGUGUGAGGCACCAUCUCUGGCAGCAGGGGACAGAGGCCUUCAGAAGCACAGGUUGCCAUGGUAGCAAGGACUUCCUGUCCUCCUCUUCCUCCUUAAGGAAUUCCAGACCGGACAUGGCGCCAACACAACACAGCAGGACAACGUGGUGGACAGCGAGAAAUUAAUUUUAUUACAACAUUUUCUCAUGGCCCGGUGGUUGGACGUGUUAUUUUAUUGUUGUGUAUUUCCUGUGUUUUAUUUUUGGUGUAUAUAUUUUAUGGUUUUAUGCGCAUACCUGCCUGUAACAAGAACUUCCCAGAGGGGGUAAUUAAGUUGAAUAUGAAUGAACAUUAAUCCUGCUAGCGUGCCCAGUAACCUUGCAUGUGAAACUUUCUGGGCAAGUGAAAAAAUGUAACGUAAUGUGAACUGAGUUUGUGAACACUGAUUAGUCUGGCUGAAACUGAAGCCCAUGGAGAGUCAAUGGGUGAUGUCGUAGUGACUCUGUACAUACAGUCUAUGGCUGACAUGCCCUUACACAUCUGUCUCAUAACUUUAUGGUUCUAGGAAUCUGACAUCGUUUCCUGUAACUCUGUGGUACUCUGAGACUGACCGGGUUGCCCAUAACCGGAGGUGGAAAAUCCAGGUUCAGAGAGUAAAUGUCCUCCCCAUUGUUUUCUUCCAAUGAACCUGUAUUUGCUAAUGAGUAUGAUUCUUCAGCCAGGAGCUGGAACUAUUUAGUGAAAUCAGCAGGCUGUGCUCAUGGGUGUAGGAAACACAUGGCAGGACUUUUAAGUUCUGACUCGAUUCUCCACCUCUGCUCAAAACCAUAUGGUACUGGAUGUCCAAACUGCUCAUGGAUGUACUUUGUGAACAAAGCAGGAGAAUGUUGCUUCUUCUGAUGAAUCAUGACCUUGUGGAUGCAUGUGCUCUGAGCAAGCUCAACCACGGACUGCUCUGUUACUCAACCCUGAGUUAUGAAAACCAUUGAAGCGAGAUAAAAAAAACAACUUCCUUAGAUAGAGGACGGUGGGGUGAGAAUGUUCUCAGAUCGUUCUAGAUAGUUAUUUUAAUCAGGGCGUUUUUUCUUCUUCAUAUCUUCUCUUCUGCAUUUCUGUCUGCAUACGAAUGUCCUCCGAAAACCUUCCCUCUGAAACGUUAAACAGUGCAGCUGAGUGAUAACAGUCUACGGGCAUCGGCACUACUUUGCAUGUCGACUGUAGACUACUUUCUGUAGAAACGCUCUGGCUGACAGGCCUGUUGACUGUUGGCCAGAGAUCAAGUGAACAUUUGUUAUUGAUGGACUAAGUUACAGUGACAGGAUGUGAGCCAGCUUCUCCCAAAUAAAAAUCAUUUUGUGA